rnacentral:rRNA from 1 species
CCUACGGGAGGCAGCAGUGGGGAAUUUUCCGCAAUGGGCGAAAGCCUGACGGAGCAAUACCGCGUGAGGGAAGACUGCCUAUGGGUUGUAAACCUCUUUUUUCAGGGAGGAAUCAAUGACGUGUACCUGAAGAAUAAGCAUCGGCUAACUCCGUGCCAGCAGCCGCGGUAAGACGGAGGAUGCGAGUGUUAUCCGGAAUCACUGGGCGUAAAGCGUCUGUAGGUGGUUUAAUAAGUCAACUGUUAAAUCUUGAGGCUCAACUUCAAAAUCGCAGUCGAAACUAUUAGACUAGAGUAUAGUAGAGGUAAAGGGAAUUUCCAGUGGAGCGGUGAAAUGCGUAGAUAUUGGAAAGAACACCGAUGGCGAAAGCACUUUACUGGGCUAUUACUAACACUCAGAGACGAAAGCUAGGGUAGCAAAUGGGAUUAGAUACCCCAGUAGUCCUAGCCGUAAACAAUGGAUACUAGAUGUUGAACAGAUCGACCUGUGCAGUAUCAAAGCUAACGCGUUAAGUAUCCCGCCUGGGAAGUAUGCUCGCAAGAGUGAAACUCAAAGGAAUUGACGG